rnacentral:rRNA from 1 species
UGAGGAAUUUUGCGCAAUGGGAGCAAUCCUGACGCAGCAACGCCGCGUGGGUGAUGAAGGCCUUCGGGUCGUAAAGCCCUGUCAGGAGGGACGAAGCCACUCGGGUGAACAGCCCAGAGGGUGACGGUACCUCCAGAGGAAGCCCCGGCUAACUACGUGCCAGCAGCCGCGGUAAUACGUAGGGGGCGAGCGUUGUCCGGAAUCAUUGGGCGUAAAGCGCGUGUAGGCGGCUUGGCAAGUCUGGUGUGAAAGCUCGAGGCUCAACCUCGAGUCUGCACCGGAAACUGCCUUGCUAGAGUCCGGAAGGGGAGACUGGAAUUCCUGGUGUAGCGGUGAAAUGCGCAGAUAUCAGGAAGAACACCGGUGGCGAAGGCGGGUCUCUGGGACGGUACUGACGCUGAGACGCGAAAGCGUGGGGAGCAAACA